AGCUUGCGGCUUAAUUUGACUCAACGCGGGGCAACUCACCCGGUCCGGACAUCGCAGGGAUUGACAGAUUGAUAGCUCUUUCUAGAUUCGGUGGGUGGUGGUGCAUGGCCGUUCUUAGUACGUGGUGCAAACUGUCAGGUUAAAUCCGCUAACGUACGCGACUCUAGCCUAUUUACUAGAGCUGGACGAUGAUAAUAAGUCGCCGAAGCGAGGAACUUCUUAGAGGGAUCCAUUGCGUGGGAGAAGCGGAUGAAAAAGAGCAAUAACAGGUCUGUGAUGCCCUUAGAUGUUCGGGGCCGCACGCGCGCUACACUGAGAAGGUUAGCGGGGGUCCGAGUGCAUGCCGGGCGCGUGAGCGACCUCGCGAAAUCUCCGAACCCUUAGCGUGCUCGGGAUUAGGGUCUGGAACUGUUGCCUAUGAACGAGGAAUUCCAAGUAAUCGCGGGUGACUAGCCUGCGCUGAUCAAGUCCCUGCCCUUUGUACACACCGCCCGUCGCUACCACUGAGCUAGCGGCUUAGCAAGGCCGUCGAGACGGCGCCCCGGGGGUACGGGUGUCGGGUGGGUGAGCCGCCAGCCCUGCUGGCCGGCUCCUGCCGCGGACAUGGCCGGCCUCACGUAGAUGGGCGUGGAAGGCGUUCAAGCUCGGCUGCUUCUAGGAGGUAAAAGUCGUAACAAGGUUGCCGUAGGUG
rnacentral:rRNA from 1 species